rnacentral:rRNA from 1 species
UGGGAAUUUGGACAAUGGGCGAAAGCCUGAUCCAGCAAUGCCGCGUGUGUGAAGAAGGCCUUCGGGUUGUAAAGCACUUUUGUCCGGAAAGAAAUCCUUGGCUCUAAUACAGUCGGGGGAUGACGGUACCGGAAGAAUAAGCACCGGCUAACUACGUGCCAGCAGCCGCGGUAAUACGUAGGGUGCAAGCGUUAAUCGGAAUUACUGGGCGUAAAGCGUGCGCAGGCGGUUUGCUAAGACCGAUGUGAAAUCCCCGGGCUCAACCUGGGAACUGCAUUGGUGACUGGCAGGCUAGAGUAUGGCAGAGGGGGGUAGAAUUCCACGUGUAGCAGUGAAAUGCGUAGAGAUGUGGAGGAAUACCGAUGGCGAAGGCAGCCCCCUGGCAAGUACUGACGCUCAUGCACGAAAGCGUGGGGAGCAAACNGGAUUAAUNCCCUGGUAGUCCACGCCCUAAANGAUGUCAACUAGUUGUUGGGGAUUCAUUUCCUUAGUAACGUAGCUAACGCGUGAAGUUGACCGCCUGGGGAGUACGGUCGCAAGAUUAAAACUCAAAUAAUUGAC